GAUGAACGCUGGCGGCGUGCCUAAUACAUGCAAGUCGAGCGAACGGACGAGAAGCUUGCUUCUCUGAUGUUAGCGGCGGACGGGUGAGUAACACGUGGAUAACCUACCUAUAAGACUGGGAUAACUUCGGGAAACCGGAGCUAAUACCGGAUAAUAUUUUGAACCGCAUGGUUCAAAAGUGAAAGACGGUCUUGCUGUCACUUAUAGAUGGAUCCGCGCUGCAUUAGCUAGUUGGUAAGGUAACGGCUUACCAAGGCGACGAUGCAUAGCCGACCUGAGAGGGUGAUCGGCCACACUGGAACUGAGACACGGUCCAGACUCCUACGGGAGGCAGCAGUAGGGAAUCUUCCGCAAUGGGCGAAAGCCUGACGGAGCAACGCCGCGUGAGUGAUGAAGGUCUUCGGAUCGUAAAACUCUGUUAUUAGGGAAGAACAUAUGUGUAAGUAACUGUGCACAUCUUGACGGUACCUAAUCAGAAAGCCACGGCUAACUACGUGCCAGCAGCCGCGGUAAUACGUAGGUGGCAAGCGUUAUCCGGAAUUAUUGGGCGUAAAGCGCGCGUAGGCGGUUUUUUAAGUCUGAUGUGAAAGCCCACGGCUCAACCGUGGAGGGUCAUUGGAAACUGGAAAACUUGAGUGCAGAAGAGGAAAGUGGAAUUCCAUGUGUAGCGGUGAAAUGCGCAGAGAUAUGGAGGAACACCAGUGGCGAAGGCGACUUUCUGGUCUGUAACUGACGCUGAUGUGCGAAAGCGUGGGGAUCAAACAGGAUUAGAUACCCUGGUAGUCCACGCCGUAAACGAUGAGUGCUAAGUGUUAGGGGGUUUCCGCCCCUUAGUGCUGCAGCUAACGCAUUAAGCACUCCGCCUGGGGAGUACGACCGCAAGGUUGAAACUCAAAGGAAUUGACGGGGACCCGCACAAGCGGUGGAGCAUGUGGUUUAAUUCGAAGCAACGCGAAGAACCUUACCAAAUCUUGGCAUCCUUUGACAACUCUAGAGAUAGAGCCUUCCCCUUCGGGGGACAAAGUGACAGGUGGUGCAUGGUUGUCGUCAGCUCGUGUCGUGAGAUGUUGGGUUAAGUCCCGCAACGAGCGCAACCCUUAAGCUUAGUUGCCAUCAUUAAGUUGGGCACUCUAAGUUGACUGCCGGUGACAAACCGGAGGAAGGUGGGGAUGACGUCAAAUCAUCAUGCCCCUUAUGAUUUGGGCUACACACGUGCUACAAUGGACAAUACAAAGGGCAGCGAAACCGCGAGGUCAAGCAAAUCCCAUAAAGUUGUUCUCAGUUCGGAUUGUAGUCUGCAACUCGACUACAUGAAGCUGGAAUCGCUAGUAAUCGUAGAUCAGCAUGCUACGGUGAAUACGUUCCCGGGUCU
rnacentral:rRNA from 1 species